rnacentral:lncRNA from 1 species
UCUUUAUGCUUAUCUCAGGCUCGCUGGCCAUAUGGGCGGAAGGCUGGUCUGGGUCCUGCGAUGGUUUUCUCCUCACGAACCCUAUGUUUUCCAUUCUUGUCGAUUUCAGUAUAUUCUCUGUGCAUAUCUGGGGCACGAUUCUCGUGUGUUUUUACAUAGGUGGCAUUAUUGUUAAGAACUUAGUGGACAUUUGGGUAGUGAGGUACAUCGGGGAUCAUUGUAGGCGUUCUUUGCAAUCGCCAAUCGAGUAAUGUAUUCAAGGUGGUCCGAGGCUGAGGACCUGGUAGCGCCACCAUAGUGGUGGUGGCUGCUAUUGUGGUCAUAGUUUUUGCUCAUUUUUCUGCCCAACUUAGCCUUCUUGCCCUGCAGGACUUGUAGUACAAGCCGCAAAUCUAAUGUAUGAUGAUUUUGAGAAUAUAUUCUAUUUGAGAUAGUGCUCUUUGGCCGUGUCUUGAAUCAGAUUCUUUCACUUUAAUCAGCUUCAAAUAUUAUAAUUUAUGAGUGAAUAAAAGAGCUAAAUUAUUUUGCCAUAAACACGUAAGGAUCAUAUCUAAUUACCACUUUGGGAAUUUAGCUUUAUGUUUUAGCUAUGUGGCCUGAAUAUGUUAGUGCAAUGUGAUAGGUGUAAGCUGUAUCACAAAUUAUAUUAAGCAAAACAAAUUAGAAAAUUGAUUUAUAGUGAUUCACUCUCAACGUUGUGAGCUAUGUUCACUUGUCGGGGUAGGUUAAAAAUACUAAUAAGAAAAGGGUCUAGAAUGCCCCCCAGGGCACUUCUCCACUGGCAAAGGACGGACGCUGUCAAACCUGACAGAGCAGAGGUCGUGAGUUCGAAACAUGGGGCUCUUGGAAGGCAAGAAUUUAUUCUUGGAAGGCAAGGGAACAUUUGGAAGGCAAGGAUUUAUUCUUGGAAGGCAAGUGGGAACUUGGAAGGCAAGGAUUAUUCUUGGAAGGCAAGGUGCAACUUGGAUUGGCUUGCUUGGCACUUUGUCAGACCAGGUGGGGAGCGCUCGGACCCUGGCCAGUUGGAGGCACAUCCUGCGAUUAACCGGACUGUGUGAAGAGGGGCCGGAUCACAGACCCAAGGAUUAGUCUAGAAAAGGACACCUUUUAAAAAAAAAAAAAAAA